GUUCUGCCAUUCCCAUUCCCCCCUCCUCGCACUGUCUUUCUCAUUCUCCCCUCUCCACAAAGCUCAUUCCCAUUCUCGGCUGUCAUUCCGUCUUUCUCAUUCCUCCCUCCCCGUAAAUCUCAUUCCCAUUCCCACGUGCAUCUCACGCCUAGCUAAAAUUAAAUUAAAAAAACAUAAAUAUGGCCCCAAUAGGAUUCGAACCUGCGACCUCUCAAGCAAAUGUGCUCGUAGCUACCACUACAUCACAUGUGUGUUUAUGUCAAUAUUUGUUACAGUAAAAAUAUCUACUACAUCUCUCUCAAAGCCUACCUGCUACCUUUGCACAAUGUGUAGUAGUAGA
rnacentral:misc_RNA from 1 species